AAACGUCUUGCUAAGAGGAAAUGCGGCUGAUGAAAUGCUGGCGAUACCGACGAACACAGCGACGGGAGCCGCUGCAGCAGCCGCUUGUCCUGGGUUUGGUGCACUGUAAACAAACUGCACAGGACAAAGAGAACAGUGUGCAAAUGUAAAGGAAGAUUAAGGAAGAGUUUGUGUAAUAUACAAAGUUUGAUUCUUUGGAUUGAUUUGAUUUUGGUUUUACUUACUCUCCUGAUGCAUUUGUAGACAAGGAAGGAGACAAGUGCUCCCAUUACAGGAGAGAUAACCCAAGAGGAAGCUACUUUAGCUAGAGAACUCCAAAAUACGGCACCAGCUCCUCCGUAGACAAGCCCAAACCCAACCAUUGAUCCUACGAUACAGUGAGUUGUUGAUACUGGCCAUCCAUAGUAAGAAGCCACCUGUGAAAUUCAUAAUUACACAAUCUUUUUCAGACACUGCAGUGCAGUUCAACUAAAGUUCUCUACUUGUAUCAUUUGCCAUUGCCAUCCUAAAAAGGUAUUAACUUUACUAAAUCUUCUCUUGAAAAUAGUGAGGAAGAGGCAAAAGAUAAGAUGGAACCUGUAACCAAGUUCCAGCUGCAGCCAAGGAAGAGAGGAGACCAGCAAAGAGCAACAUAUCUUUCCCUUGGAACACAUUAGCCAUGAGAAUCCCUUUCUGCAUCGUGC
rnacentral:lncRNA from 1 species